rnacentral:rRNA from 1 species
GACGAACGCUGGCGGCGUGCUUAACACAUGCAAGUCACGGGGGCUCGCAAGGGCAACCGGCGAACGGGUGCGUAACACGUGAGCAAUCUGCCGAUUUGAGGGGGAUAGCCGGCCCAACGGCCGGGUAAUACCGCAUACGCUUGAGGAGAGGAGUCUCUUUUCAAGGAAACCUCCGGGGCAAAUCGAGGAGCUCGCGGCCUAUCAGCUAGUUGGCGGGGUAACGGCCCACCAAGGCGACGACGGGUAGCUGGUCUGAGAGGAUGGCCAGCCACAUUGGGACUGAGAGACGGCCCAGACUCCUACGGGAGGCAGCAGUGGGGAAUCUUGCGCAAUGGCCGAAAGGCUGACGCAGCGACGCCGCGUGUGGGAUGAAGCAUUUCGGUGUGUAAACCACUGUUGCCCGGGACGAACAGCUUCUUUCGAGGAGCCUGACGGUACCGGGUGAGGAAGCACCGGCUAACUCCGUGCCAGCAGCCGCCGUAAAAC